AUCGGCCAAACUACAUUCAAUUCAAGUUAUACAUAUAUCGAAUCGGUCUGAAAACAAAAUUUUAGUUGAAUCAUCUAAACUUUUCAAAAUGUUGAAAGGUGUGUGCUGCUUGCGUCUCCAUACGGCGGGAAAAUUCAUUGGCUGGUCUGAAUUUAUUCUAUCACUCGUUCUCUAUAUAUGUGUAUUUUGGCUUAUGGGUGGUACCAGAAUGGUGUCAAUUAAGACUAAUGUGCUAGAUGCUCUGACUGGAUGCAUAUAUAUGGCUAUAAUUUCUGUACAUUUAAUUAACUCGAUUUUCCUUAUAAUUGGUGUCAAUAAGAACCGUCAUGGAUAUUUGUUGCCGUGGCUAAUAUGGCAAGCAGCUUCCUUGGUAUGGGUCAUACUUUUGCGGUAUGAACAACUUUCUUCAGGACAAAUUCAGCCCGCAGUCAGCUCUAUUCCUUAUCUUGCUCUCAGAAUUUACAUUUUUUAUAUAAUACUGUCGCUCUACCAACACAUUAAGACUGACAAAGGACUAAAGGAAAUUGACCAAGAAGCACAACUUGUUCAGAAAUAAUAAAACUAAGAAAAGUUCAACAUAUUUUUGUCAAAUAACGCUUUCAAAAUAGUUAAUUUACAUACAAGAAGUCCUUCUACUGACUUUGCCGAAUAUCCUUAAGACUCCCCUUCAAAGUUAGAAAAGAACUAUAGACAUUAGGGGCCACUUACAUCAUCUAAUCAAAAUGUUGACCAUAAAUUCUCUAGGCGGCAUUUAAAUUUAACAUUAAUGUAAUCUUAAUUAAACUAACUAAGCUGUUUCAA